UGAGCUGGCUGCGUAAAUCCAUUGCCUUCCCAGGUAGGGAGCCCCUAUCUUUGCAGCUGAAAGAAAUCUCUGUGAUGAAAAAGCCAUGUGGCUGUUCCAGGCAUCGCUUUCCAGUGGGCAGAUUUCUGUUUGUUUGAUACUCCCUUGACAAACGUUAGGCCAGCAGUUUUCAAAGUAUGGUCUGCAACCAUCAAGGGAGUAGGGUUGUGGGGUGGGUCUUUUAGACCAUUUCGGGAGAUCCCACAAGUCAAAAAAACUAUUUUUAUAAAAUAUGAAGACAUUAUUUGCCUUUUUCAACUUUGUUGACAUUUGUACUGAUGAUGCAAAAGCAUAACCAGUAUUUUCCAAAUGACCAGUGCUUGAUAAUCAAAGUGUAUGAUAGAUUGUUGGGUUUUAAUGUGACAGAAUAUAGAAGUUCAUUGAUACGAUUUUUUGUUUAUUUAUUUAUGAGGCGGGGUCUCACUCUGCUGCUCAGACAGGAGUGCAGUGGCGUGAUCGUAGCCCACCGCAGCUUUGAACUCCUGGGCUCAAGCAAUCCUUCCACCUUAGCCUCCCAAGUAGCUGGGAGCACAGGUGGCAUGCCACACGCCCUGGUGAUUUUUGUUAAAAAAGAUUUUUGUGGA
rnacentral:lncRNA from 1 species